rnacentral:piRNA from 1 species
UGAUCUGGCAGCUGUUCGGAGAUGUGCCU